GGGCCCGCACAAGCGGUGGAGCAUGUGGUUUAAUACGUCACUAACCGUAGAACCUUACCCAGGCUUGACAUCUGGAGUAAGUCCAUGAAAGUGGCACCCCUGUAUGGUAACAUACAGCUCCAAGACAGGUGUUGCAUGGCUGUCGUCAGCUCGUGUCGUGAGAUGUUGGGUUAAGUCCCGCAACGAGCGCAACCCUCAUUCCAUGUUGCCAGCGUAAAGUCGGGAACUCUUGGAAAACUGCCCGUGUAAGCGGGAGGAAGGUGGGGAUGACGUCAAGUCAGCAUGGCCCUUACGCCUGGGGCUACACACAUGCUACAAUGGACGUGAACAAAGGGCAGCGAUACCGCGAGGUGGAGCUAAUCUCACAAACACGUUCUCAGUUCGGAUUGCAGUCUGCAACUCGACUGCAUGAAGUCGGAAUCGCUAGUAACCGCAGGUCAGCUAAACUGCGGUGAAUACGUUCCCGGGCCUU
rnacentral:rRNA from 1 species